rnacentral:lncRNA from 13 species
GUUCUGCUAUACUUUUCUUUUUGGUGGAUUUUGGUGAUGCUUUUUGGCAUAAAGCCUUGCACAGCUUCUAAACUGGGGACAUGUCUUGAGGAGAAACCUAGCUAAGUAUAUGUGACUCCUCAAAUCUCCAAUUUAGUCAACAUUUUUCUGCACAAAACUCUACUGAUUUUUCUGUCUCCAGCAGUGGUUUUAUGCCUGGAAUAAUAUUAGUUACUUGCUCAUGCCCAGAUUCAGCAAAUACUCCUACCAAAAAAGCAACGUCAGAUUAUCAGUUCACCUUUCUGUAGUUUUUUCCUCUCUGGAAACUUAGUUGCACUGAUCUGCAUGACUCCGGUAUCUCCAUGAUCACUACACAGAUGCUCUUUGUUUUGUUUCCUUAGUUUUGUUUUUGUUUCUUCCUCAGCUGGAGCAUUGGUCUAUUAUAAAUUAUUGAAUCCUGCUGGAACCAGGAGUCUCUCAAGCAUCCAGUCUAAGAUACCCUUCGUAGAUAAGCAGCAGAAUUGUUCAGCCUGGUUUUCACAGAAGUUGCUGCCUCAACGCCCAUUCUGUACUUUUAAUAGGAACCAGACACAGACUGUUGACAUAAUUUGAGUACUGUUAAUCACAUGUUUUGAUUAUUACAAAUACAGUCGACUUUUAUAUGCAGUACAAUUGGUUUUAUAAAUGAUUGCUUGCUUCUUCAGGGUGAUGCAUUCCCAGUAUCAGGUAUCUUGCUAAAUCUAGUUCUGCAAUCUGGACAUUUUUACUGCCUCUUACCAAAGCUGGCCUUCCAAGAACUGUCGUAGAGAAGGCUCAAGGACACUGCUAUGAAAGAUGAUACGGAUGAGAGAAAGAGAGGAAAACAAAGCAGAAUCCCUCAUGAGGAGCCAGUGCUUUUUAGCUGAUGGCCUCAUAGUCAUAUUUCCAUUCAAUUUUGAAUUUCCAUAAAGAUGCCAUAAGUGAUUUGGACUUGCCUUCAAGAGAACAGAUACGUAGUGUCUUGAGCCCAUGGAGUAAAUGUGCUGUAUAAUCGAUAAAACACGUUAAACGAAUUGCUUCUACUUUCCCCUCCUCACGAGAAAGUUGUGAUUCCUUUUUCUGCAUGCUGUAUAGUCCCAGCUGUUGGUGUUCAAGGAAGGGAAUAAGGAGUGAUGAAAAUGGAAUUUGUAACUGAGUAAUUAUCACAAGGCUAGACCUCUAUUCAACAAGUUGUAAAACUGAGGGACAUUUCUCUCUCUUUUGGGAGAAAAAGAUGCCUUGAUUGCGGAUAAAUUGUGGACCUUGUGCUUACUGAGUACACAUCAAAAGUAAUGAUUAAAGCAAUACUCUUCUGAAGCUAAGUGUCUUUUCUGUUGCAAAGGUGGCUCUGAGCUCCUCAGUUGCUCAGGUCAGGAGUUAGAGCAUCCCAGAUGGUGAGGAAGUGUUGAGAAGAGGGUUUCCCCAAUAGAAAAGCACUUUGCUAAUAAUCAUUCAAGAAAAAAGUAGGCUCUGACAGGACUCAUGACAAAUUGGGUGGGGUAGAAAUGAAAUGCUGCCCAGCUGCUACAAAAUGACUGGGCUGACCAGUUGAAAGGGGACGUCGCAAAUGUUUCUUAGCCAAAAAUAACAUUAA